UACGUAGGGGGCAAGCGUUGUCCGGAAUUAUUGGGCGUAAAGAGCUCGUAGGCGGUCUGUCGCGUCUGCUGUGAAAACUCAGGGCUUAACCCUGAGCUUGCAGUGGGUACGGGCAGACUAGAGUGCGGUAGGGGAGAGUGGAAUUCCUGGUGUAGCGGUGAAAUGCGCAGAUAUCAGGAGGAACACCGGUGGCGAAGGCGGGUCUCUGGGCCGUAACUGACGCUGAGGAGCGAAAGCAUGGGGAGCGAACAGG
rnacentral:rRNA from 1 species